CGGACGGGGCGGAUCGAGCCAACCUGGAGGCUGAGUUGGUCAACGUGGCGGAAGAGGACACGCGGCUCCUGGGUGCCAGGGCGGUCCUGCGCCAAAGGCUGGUGCCCAUCUUACAGGACCUUGAUGUGCAGCUGUCGACCAAUGUUUCCGCCGACAGGAUGUCUGCAGAAUGCAGCGUGAAGCAAGCUGGUGGUUCUCUUCAGGCCCAGCUGGGCGGCGCUCUGGAACCCAGGCCUGGGCUGCGGGCGUCCAUCAGAGGGGGUCUGCAACACUCUCUGGCCAGCCUGCCAGCACUGCCACCCACCCUGGGCCUGGAGGGGGCACUGAGGCAGUCGCAGCAGCUCACUGAGGGACAGCUGACCAUGGUGGUCGGGGAGGCUGCUUAUGGCCUGGAGCUGCGCCACCAUGAUUCGGAAGGUCCCGGGGAGCAGGAGCAGGGCGUGCUGGGAGUCGAACCGGGCUGGGCCAGGGCCUGGCUGCACAUGCGUGGCCCAGGACAGAAUCUACAUGUGAAUGUUAGCAGCAACCUGGGGGAUUCGCAUGGCGGGGGGCUCCACGCUACGCUCUCACACUCCUCCGCCCAGCUCCUAGCUGCAGGUCUUCCAUCCAACAGCAGCAUGCGGGCGAGCUGGACCUAUGGUGAGCAUGGUGUCUCCACGGUGACGGAGCUCCAGGUGGGGUCGCAGGGCCUCCGGGCCGAGGUAGAGGGGGGCCGGAGAGGACGGGGACCCCCACGGUGGGAGCUCUUCUCCAGCCUGCGGCACCACUGCACAGCCUUGCUGGAGAGAGGCAUCCCCAGAGCCACGGAUGUUUCCGGACACUAUCAGGCGGAGCCACACGCCAUGAGCGCAGGGGUGGCCGUCCAGGUGGACCAGCGCAGGAAGGCGGAGGUGCUGGUCGAAGGGGGGCGGACGAACGGCAGCGUCAGGGUUGCCGUGUUGAUGGAACACGGCGUGAAGAGGCUGCUGGGAGUCCUGCCCACAAGACUUCAGAUGGACUGCAGCGGAGAUGGCGGCGCGGAGCAGCUCUCCGGCCGGUGCUCUGGAGCCGUGGCCGACCAACCCAUCGAGGUACAAGCCUUCCGCCGGUGGGGGUUUCGACCGCACUGCUCGGGUCUGCAGUUGCGGGUGGGCAGGCAGGCGGCGCAGGCGGAGGGCUGCUACGACACCCUGGGCCGGGAUGAGCUAACAGCCAGUGCAGUCCACUCCUCUGGUGCGCUGCACUCCCUUGGCCUUCCCAGACAGGCCCGCCUACGCGCCCUACUCGAACCCGGGGCCGGCUCAUGGCGGUGUGUGCUGAGCGCUUCUAUAGGCAGGAUGAAUGCGCACCUGAGCGGGGAGCUGAGGGUGGUGCCCGUGUGCAGGUGGCGCGGCCUGGCCUCGUAUCGUGGUCCCGGCAGUCCCGGCACGGUGGAGGUUCGAAGCCUGGUCGGUGUGCGACGCUGCCACCUAGAGGCUGAAUUCAGCACUGUCUUGGGCAAGGGCACCUCCAGCCUGGCGGUGCUCGCUCAUUGCGGAAGCCUGCGGAUCAAGGGCGCACGGGUGCAGGAGGGGCCAAGGAAGAGUCGAACGUCUUUCGUGGCAGUGGGAAGAAUGGGGCAGAACCGCGUUACGGCGUCUUUGGUCCUCAAGCAGAACCGGGACGCGCUGAGCUGCCGGGGAUCCCUCCUGCUGCUGGAGAGGACAGCGGAGCUGGGCUGGACACUACGGCACCGCUGGGCGUCCCUCCGGAGGACCGUCCCUGAGAGGCUGAGCAUGGACGGGUGGGGACGCGUGGGUCGCAGCUCCAUGUCCGGAGGCAUUCGCCUGGCCCUGGGUUCACACACGGCCCAGCUGGACAUGUCCACAGCGUGGCGGCUGGACGCCUCCCUCCGCGCUGCCCUCCGCCACGGGCUGCCUCCCCUUAAGGCUGCCGGAAUCCCGGAGGACUCGCUCCUCAACCUGGCCAUCGGCAGCGAACGGGUCCGUGCCGAUCUGCUCGGCGCCCACUGUGCCGUCUCUGCUCGAGGAGACUUGCAGGGGUCGCACAGAGAGACGUGGAGACUGACCGUCAGGCAGCGCUGCGCAGGGCUGCAGAUGCGGUUCCCCAGGCAGUUCUCGGUGAACGGGACGGUCGCAACCGCUGCCUGCGGCCUGCACCUUGACACCCGGGUGGAGAGUGCUGCUGGGGAAGGGGCGGGGCUAAACCUGGUGUUUGACUGUGCCUCCAAGCUCCGCCUCCAGGCCACCGCGCAGCACACUCUUCCCCCGCUGCAGCGGCUGGGGGUCCCCGCCCACAACACCCUCACCGUCUCGGUCCAGAAGGACCCAGCGCCGGCAGCCAUGCUCCUGGACCUCACGCUGGGCCGGUGCGAGUUGAGAGUCCAGACCAACAUUGACCGUGCCCUUGGACCGGAGGAGACCGGGUCCGGUUGGGCCGCCAACCUGACCAACCGCUGCCUGGUCCUGAAGGAAGCAGGCGUUCCGGAGUCGCUGGAACUCUCCGGGCUGCUCUCUCUGUCCCCCUGCCGCUCCGCCCUGUCCUGCAGCCUGACUGCCGACGGCGAGGCCCUCGCCCUGCAGCUGAGUCACUCCUGCCGUCCCACACACAGCCUCACGGGGGCGGUGACGCACUCUUUCUCCCGGCUCGGCAGCUGGGGCCUGCCCUCCGAAAGCAGGCUGGUCCUGAUGGCACCCGGGGGUCCCGGCCGGGACGGGACCCUCCUGCUGAAGGCGGGCUCUUGUCGAGUUAGAGCCAGCGGAGAUGUGAAACCUGGGGGGCGGAGCCUGUGGGUUUGGACCGCAGAGACCGAGUGUCCGCUCUUAGAGGGCUUCAGUCUGCCGGCUCAGUCCCGGUUCAACGGCUCCCUGCUGCUGGAGGACUGCGCGCUGGAGGUCCGAGCCGACGCUCGGGUCGACGGUCACUGGGCCUCCGUCCGACUGACCGCCGGGUGCCGCCAAGGGCUGCGGCUGGAGGGGCUUCCGGAGCACGGCUCGUUGAUGCCAGAGUCCAGAAGGGCACCGCCUUUACAGUACGGUGCCGAGCUAGAGCUCCGCGUGCGCCGCUGCGCCCUGGGGGUCUCCGGGGGGCUGCGGACAGCAGGGAGGCUGGAGGGCUCACUGCUUCUGCACAACAACUGCACGGCCCUGCAGCACCUGGGGGCUCCAUCCAGGGUUGAAGGACACGGGUCCCUGCUUAUGAGCACGGGGCUCAUGGACUCCCGCGUGUCCCUCGUCUCAGGUGACACCCACCUGCGGGCUCUUCUGAGCACCAAGGCCGCCAGGGUACUGCAGUGCCUUUCCCGCUCCUCGUCACACGACAGCUCAGAGAGAGCACAUCAGU
rnacentral:lncRNA from 1 species